UACGAAGGGGGCUAGCGUUGCUCGGAAUCACUGGGCGUAAAGCGCACGUAGGCGGCUUCUUAAGUCAGGGGUGAAAUCCUGGAGCUCAACUCCAGAACUGCCUUUGAUACUGAGAAGCUUGAGUCCGGGAGAGGUGAGUGGAACUGCGAGUGUAGAGGUGAAAUUCGUAGAUAUUCGCAAGAACACCAGUGGCGAAGGCGGCUCACUGGCCCGAUACUGACGCUGAGGCACGAAAGCGUGGGGAGCGAACAGG
rnacentral:rRNA from 1 species